rnacentral:lncRNA from 1 species
GCCAUGGGGACGUCAUUGGUGGCACUUGGUGACCUUAAAUCCAUCGGGACGUUGGUGGCCAUGGGGGUCCUGGUGGCAUCUGGAGGUCCUGGUGCCAUCGGGAUGUCAUUGGUGGCACUUGGUGACCUUAAAUCCAUGGGGACACGGGUGGCCAUGGGGGUCCUGGUGGCAUCUGGAGGUCCUGGUGCCAUGGGGACGUCAUUGGUGGCACUUGGUGACCUUAAAUCCAUGGGGACAGGGGUGGCCAUGGGGGUCCUGGUGGCAGCUGGAGGUCCUGGAGACAUGGGGACAUCGGUGACACUUGGGUCCAUGGGGAUGUUGGUGGCAUCUGGAGGUCCUGGUGCCAUGGGGAUGUCAUUGGUGGCACUUGGUGACUUUAAAUCCAUGGGGACACGGGUGGCCAUAGGGGUCCUGGUGGCACCAGUGGCACCCGAAGGUCCUGAACCCUUGGGGACAUCGGUGACACUCAAAGUUCUCAGGUCCAUGGGGACGUUGGUGGCAUCUGAAGUUCUUGGGACCACGGGGACAUUGGUGGCACUUGGUGACCCCGUAUCCAUGGGGACGCGGGUGGCCAUGGGGGUCCUGGUGGCACCUGGAGGCCCCAGAUCCACGUUGGUGACACCUGAAGCUCUCGGGUCCGUGUUGGUGACAUCAGUGUCCCCACGACCGCCCAGCUCCUCGGUGGCAGCGCUGUCACCUGCAGUGACACCCAGCAGCCCUGCUGGCUCCGUGUCCCCAUUACCCCCAAACCUCCAGCAGCCCCAAAUCCCUACAACUCAACGUCCCCAUCACCCCCAGUGCCCCACAAUGUCCCCAACGUCCCCAUUGACCCCAUUGACCCCAUUACCCCCAAUACACCCCAAUGUCCCCACUGCCCUUAAUGUCCCCCAACAUCCCCCUUUGCCCCCAAUGUCCCCAAUAUCCCCCAAUGUCCCCCAAUCUCCCCCUGCCCCCAAUGUCCCCAU